CUGAGGGGUUCUGAGGGGCUGGGGAGCAAGCCAGCGGGUCACAAAGCCCUGGCAGACCCAGCCAAUCACCUUCUUCUUAUGGCUGAGCAAGGACCUGAUUCAUUGAGAGGCUCAGCCUCUCAAAGCUGGAUUAAUCAAUGCAGAGACGGGGCAAGUGGAGUAUUUGCAGGGUUGGCCUGGAGCCCAGCAUGCGCCCCCUCCCACAGAUCCAAGACAGGGAUCUGGACGGCUGUGGGUUCAGGUCAACAAAUGUCCAUGGAGUCACCCAUCAAUCCAAGGCUCCCAGCAGAAGGCAGACAGUGUGACUUGGCUGCAGGCUUUGCCAUUCGCUGCCUGUGAGACACAAGCAAGUAGGCGAAGGUAUCCAAGCCUCAGUUCUCAUGAAGCAUCAGAAUGAUGGACUAACCCCACGUGGAGACAGUCAGCCCCCACCCCAGUGGGGACAUGCACUGGAGAGCUUCCAGAAGGCCUGCAGAUAACUUCUCUCCUGCCCUACCAUAGUGCCCGAAAUUCCCACCAGAAAUGCCACUCUUGUGGAUUACAGCAUCCAGCUCCAGAAAGCCUUUGAGUUGUUACCUCAAUUUUGCUUAUGAGGAAAUGAAGGAUGAGGAUUCCAGUGACUUUUCCAAGUUCAAGAUCAACCACUGGCAAGAUCAGAGCUGAACCUGGCCAAAUGAACACAAAUCCCAUGCUCUUUCCACACCACCACACUGGGGCAGGAAGGACGAUUUGAUUUUUCACAGCUCUAGAGCAGGAUGACUUGCCCAGAUUUCACCCCUUGAGAAUUAGG